AACGAACGCUGGCGGCAGGCUUAACACAUGCAAGUCGAACGGGUGUAGCAAUACACCAGUGGCAGACGGGUGAGUAACACGUGGGAACCUUCCUCGUAGUACGGAACAACUCAGGGAAACUUGUGCUAAUACCGUAUACGUCCGAGAGGAGAAAGAUUUAUCGCUAUGAGACGGGCCCGCGUCGGAUUAGGUAGUUGGUGGGUAACGGCCGUACCAACGCUACGAUCCGUAGCUGAUCNGAGAGGAU
rnacentral:rRNA from 1 species